CCAUACUAAUAGGCAGCCUGUUGGAUUUAACAAGGCCACAGUGCCUACUCCUCCUUCUCCUUUCAGACAGAGAGUCAAUUUUGAUCAAGCCAGAGGACCUUUAUUCUGUAGAUACUGUAAAAAAUCUAGACACUUAAUUGAUAAGUGUUUCAAGAUCUAUGGGUAUCCACAAAGUACAAAUUUUAACAAGGGGAGCAGACCUGCUGCUACUCAU
rnacentral:lncRNA from 1 species